CCUUCACCUGCUUUAAAUAUUGCACGUUCCCAGAAUUCCUCGGUCUUAGCCUGCAGAUGCAUACAAAUUCUCAGUCUCUGCGUAUACAGUUACUGUAGAAACCGGCACGCCGGUCCAAUGAGAGAUUCCAGAUGGAGAAUUCCAAACAACCUGGUACAGAGUCAAGGCAUUGCCGGGAACGGAGCGCAUCAUAUUCACACAAAAGCCGCACAUCUUUGUUUAAGGCGAUGCUGCAGAUGACGGGAGGAUUCAUUAACAGCUGAGAA